AAAGAUUUAGUUAAACUAUAACAUUAGAAUGUCAAACUAAAAUUAUUAUCAUAUAAUAUUCUUUA
rnacentral:tRNA from 1 species